UAUCAAUAUUUCAUGAUUCAGCCUAUAAC
rnacentral:piRNA from 1 species